rnacentral:rRNA from 1 species
UGGCGGACGGGUGAGUAACACGUGAGCAACCUGCCUUUCAGUGGGGGACAACAGUUGGAAACGACUGCUAAUACCGCAUAACGUGCCGGAAGGGCAUCCUUUUGGUACCAAAGAUUUAUCGCUGAAAGAUGGGCUCGCGUCUGAUUAGCUAGUUGGAGGGGUAACGGCCCACCAAGGCAACGAUCAGUAGCCGACCUGAGAGGGUGACCGGCCACAUUGGGACUGAGACACGGCCCAAACUCCUACGGAAGGCAGCAG